CCAGCUCCGUGCAGGGCCAGUAUCUCCCACAAGGCACCUCAAGGCCUUUACUGCCUCUCUCCAGCCAGCUCCAGCGCUACAGGAGAGGGACUGGAAUUAAAUGUCAUGUGGAAUAAAGCAGACAUGGCAUUCUGUUAAGAAGAUAGAGCACAUAAAUGAUGGCUACCCAGCUUCAAAGAAAAAACUCAGGAGGCCGUACAUUCAUUUACAGCACAGUGGAUGAAAUCUCCUAUGCUCUGGUUUGGAAACCAGGAGGAAUCACCAACUGAGAUUUGCCAACCAGAGUUCUAUGG